AACGAACGCUGGCGGCAUGCCUAACACAUGCAAGUCGAACGAGACCUUCGGGUCUAGUGGCGCACGGGUGCGUAACGCGUGGGAACCUGCCCUUAGGUUCGGAAUAACUCCCCGAAAGGGGUGCUGAUACCGGAUAAUGUCUUCGGACCAAAGAUUUAUCGCCUUUGGAUGGGCCCGCGUUGGAUUAGCUAGUUGGUAGGGUAAAAGCCUACCAAGGCGACGAUCCAUAGCUGGUCUGAGAGGAUGAUCAGCCACACUGGGACUGAGACACGGCCCAGACUCCCACGGGAGGGAGGCGGGGGGAAUAUUGGACAAUGGGCGAAAGCCUGAUCCAGCAAUGCCGCGUGAGUGAUGAAGGCCUUAGGGUUGUAAAGCUCUUUUACCCGGGAUGAUAAUGACAGUACCGGGAGAAUAAGCGCCGGCUAACUCCGUG
rnacentral:rRNA from 1 species